UACGUAGGUGGCAAGCGUUGUCCGGAUUUAUUGGGCGUAAAGAGCUCGUAGGCGGCUUGUUGCGUCGACUGUGAAAACCCGCGGCUUAACUGCGGGCUUGCAGUUGAUACGGGCAGGCUAGAGUUCGGUAGGGGAGACUGGAAUUCCUGGUGUAGCGGUGAAAUGCGCAGAUAUCAGGAGGAACACCGAUGGCGAAGGCAGGUCACUGGGCCGCAACUGACGCUGAGGAGCGAAAGCAUGGGGAGCGAACAGG
rnacentral:rRNA from 1 species